CAAUAAAUCAUGUCCACAAUCUGGUGACCAGAGUUCAGACAGCAUAGAAAGUCCCCUUCUGAGCUUCAGCCCAGGACCUUUACUGAUGGAAUCGUACUGUCUACAUUAAGGUGGUUCCUCCAACUUCAAAUAACCUACCCUAGAAAAGCCCUCACAGACAGCCCAGAGACUGGUUUCCGUGCUGAUUCUAAAUCCUGUCAAGCAGUCUCCAAGUGCCAGGAUGACAGGCGCAGCACGACAUGCCUGGCUUCUUCUUAAGUGGGAACACUGCACUCAUGCCGGAGCAGCUACUGCCAUGUCCUCCUGACUGGGGAAUGCUACGCUCUGUGACAGGGGCUUCACUUCUCCAAAUGUACACAGCACUUAGGAUCCCAGUUGUAGGGCAGAGAGGACUGCUGUGUGGCCUCCACAACAUCUGACAGACAUCCUCACAGCCUGGCUC